rnacentral:rRNA from 1 species
UACGAAGGGGGCUAGCGUUGUUCGGAAUUACUGGGCGUAAAGAGCGUGUAGGCGGCCCGGUAAGUCCGCUGUGAAAGUCGGGGGCUCAACCCUCGAAUGCCGGUGGAUACUGUCGGGCUAGAGUGCGGAAGAGGCGAGUGGAAUUCCUGGUGUAGCGGUGAAAUGCGCAGAUAUCAGGAGGAACACCGGUGGCGAAGGCGGGUCUCUGGGCCGAUACUGACGCUGAGGAGCGAAAGCGUGGGGAGCGAACAGG